rnacentral:rRNA from 1 species
AACGAACGCUGGCGGCAGGCCUAACACAUGCAAGUCGAACGCCCUCUUCGGAGGGAGUGGCAGACGGGUGAGUAACGCGUGGGAAUCUACCCAGUACUAAGGAAUAACAGUUGGAAACGACUGCUAAUACCUUAUACGCCCUUCGGGGGAAAGAUUUAUCGGUAUUGGAUGAGCCCGCGUUGGAUUAGCUAGUUGGUGGGGUAAAAGCCUACCAAGGCGACGAUCUAUAGCUGGUCUGAGAGGAUGAUCAGCCACACUGGAACUGAGACACGGUCCAGACUCCUACGGGAGGCAGCAGUGGGGAAUAUUGGACAAUGGGCGCAAGCCUGAUCCAGCCAUGCCGCGUGAGUGAUGAAGGCCCUAGGGUUGUAAAGCUCUUUCGCUAGUGAAGAUAAUGACGGUAACUAGUAAAGAAGCCCCCGGCUAAACUUCGUGCCAGCGCCGCGGUAA